rnacentral:rRNA from 1 species
CNAUGCAGUCGAGGGGUAUAGUAGCAAUACUAGAGACCGGCGCACGGGUGCGUAACGCGUAUGCAAUCUACCUUUUACAGAGGGAUAGCCCAGAGAAAUUUGGAUUAAUACCUCAUAGCAUAGCAGCUUCGCAUGAAGCCACUAUUAAAGUCACAACGGUAAAAGAUGAGCAUGCGUCCCAUUAGCUAGUUGGUAAGGUAACGGCUUACCAAGGCAACGAUGGGUAGGGGUCCUGAGAGGGAGAUCCCCCACACUGGUACUGAGACACGGACCAGACUCCUACGGGAGGCAGCAGUGAGGAAUAUUGGACAAUGGGCGCAAGCCUGAUCCAGCCAUGCCGCGUGCAGGAUGACGGUCCUAUGGAUUGUAAACUGCUUUUGCACAGGAAGAAACAACAUUACGUGUAAUGUCUUGACGGUACUGUGAGAAUAAGGAUCGGCUAACUCCGUGCCAGCAGCCGCGGUAAUACGGAGGAUCCAAGCGUUAUCCGGAAUCAUUGGGUUUAAAGGGUCCGUAGGCGGUUUAGUAAGUCAGUGGUGAAAGCCCAUCGCUCAACGGUGGAACGGCCAUUGAUACUGCUAGACUUGAAUUAUUAGGAAGUAACUAGAAUAUGUAGUGUAGCGGUGAAAUGCUUAGAGAUUACAUGGAAUACCAAUUGCGAAGGCAGGUUACUACUAAUGGAUUGACGCUGAUGGACGAAAGCGUGGGUAGCGAACAGGAUUAGAUACCCUGGUAGUCCACGCCGUAAACGAUGGAUACUAGCUGUUGGGARCAAUCUCASUGGCUMNACGNGAANGUGAUWAUYAUCCCACCUGGGGAGUACGUUCGCAAGAAUGAAACUCAAAGGAAUUGACGGGGGCCCGCACAAGCGGUGGAGCAUGUGGUUUAAUUCGAUGAUACGCGAGGAACCUUACCAAGGCUUAAAUGUAGAUUGACCGGUUUGGAAACAGACUUUUCGCAAGACAAUUUACAAGGUGCUGCAUGGUUGUCGUCAGCUCGUGCCKUGAGGUGUCAGGUUAAGUCCUAUAACGAGCGCAACCCCUGUUGUUAGUUGCCAGCGAGUCAUGUCGGGAACUCUAACGAGACUGCCAGUGCAAACUGAAAAGGAAGGUGGGGGAUGACGUCAAAUCAUCACGGCCCUUACGCCUUGGGCUA